GAUGAAGAACGUAGUGAAAUGCGAUAAGUAGUGGGAAUUGCAGAAUUCAGUGAAUCAUCGAAUCUUUGAACGCACAUUGCGCCCCUUGGUAUUCCAUGGGGCAUGCCUGUUCGAGCGUCAUUUGUACCUUCAAGCUUUGCUUGGUGUUGGGUGUUUGUCCUGAGGGACUCGCCUUAAAGUAAUUGGCAGCCAGUGUUUUGGUUUUGAAGCGCAGCACAAGUCGCGAUUCAUGGCUAUACGCCAGCUUCCACAAGCCUUUUUCACUUUUGACCUCGGAUCAGGUAGGGAUACCCGCUGAACUUAAGCAUAUCAAUAAGCGGAGGA
rnacentral:misc_RNA from 1 species